UACGUAGGGGGCUAGCGUUGUCCGGAAUCAUUGGGCGUAAAGAGCGUGUAGGCGGUCCGGUAAGUCCGCUGUGAAAGUCGGGGGGCUCAACCCUCGAAUGCCGGUGGAUACUGCCGGGCUAGAGGAUGGUAGAGGCGAGUGGAAUUCCCGGUGUAGCGGUGAAAUGCGCAGAUAUCGGGAGGAACACCAGUAGCGAAGGCGGCUCGCUGGGCCAUUCCUGACGCUGAGACGCGAAAGCUAGGGGGAGCGAAACAGG
rnacentral:rRNA from 1 species